CGUGAUCGUUGGAAAGAGAGGGAAGAGAUGCCGCUCGGAGAGAGAGGAGGAUGGGAGAGAAGCGAGUCCAGAUACUGCGGCGUUGAGACUGACUUCUCCGACGAUGUUCCUUCUCUUCUCUCCUUACACAUCUCCACCGGCGGCUUUGACUAUGUCCUUGCUCCUCUGAUACAGACCGAGCUUAGUUGAAGGAAACGGUUCGGAAACUCAGGUUCUUCCAGUCUCUGGCUCUGACUUGGUCUUGUCGCCUUCUCAGUGGAGCAGCCAUGUUGUCGGUAUGAUUGCUUCUAGCUAUUUCUUGUGUUGCUAAUGGAUUCUGAAACCACAUUGAAGCAAGAGAUAGCGUGGGCUACACAUACAGGCGUGUCUUCUUCCUACUCCUAAAGGGACCUCGUGUGCUAAUUAUGCUAGA